rnacentral:rRNA from 1 species
GACGAACGCUGGCGGCGUGCUUAACACAUGCAAGUCGAACGGUAAGGCUCUUCGGAGUACACGAGUGGCGAACGGGUGAGUAACACGUGAGCAACCUGCCCCUGACACUGGAAUAAGCAUUCGAAAGGGUGUCUAAUACCGGAUAUUACUUCUGCCUGCAUGGGUGGGAGUGGAAAGCUCCGGCGGUUGGGGAUGGGCUCGCGGCCUAUCAGCUUGUUGGUGAGGUAAUGGCUCACCAAGGCUUCGACGGGUAGCCGGCCUGAGAGGGCGACCGGCCACACUGGGACUGAGAUACGGCCCAGACUCCUACGGGAGGCAGCAGUGGGGAAUAUUGCGCAAUGGGCGGAAGCCUGACGCAGCAACGCCGCGUGCGGGAUGACGGCCUUCGGGUUGUAAACCGCUUUCAGCAGGGACGAAGCUUUUGUGACGGUACCUGCAGAAGAAGCACCGGCCAACUACGUG